rnacentral:sRNA from 1 species
AAAUUAUUUACAAGGAUAAUCAUGGGACUUCCUCCCAAGUGAGCUUGUUUUAAGUCUCUAGCUUGACUCCUCACACUUAUCAAGAAGAAAAUGAACUGUAGAGAGGGUCUGCAUAAUCCUCUCUGAUACCAUCAUCAUAAUCAGCGUCCUCCCUGGAGAGGUCUCCAACAGAAUACUCAAUUCCCCUUUCUUCAAAAUAUGCUUCUUUCUCUUCUGGAGGGUAAUCUAUCUCUUCAGACCAUCUUGAAGUGAACUUCUUUCUCGGGAUAGUGUCGAUCCCGCCUUUAGGUUGAGCUUCCUUCAGCAACUGAUUCAGCUUACUUCUAAGCUCCUCAACAGUGUGGGCUAGCUUCUCUAUAGUUUCAUCUUGCUUGUAAUACCU